rnacentral:tRNA from 1 species
GCUGGUGUAGCUCAGUUGGUAGAGCAACGCACUCGUAACGCGUAGGUCGGGGGUUCGAGCCCCUUCACCAGCA